rnacentral:lncRNA from 1 species
ACAAUAUUAAACACAGUGUAAAUGUAAAUCACCUUUUCAUUCAAUAUGAAUCUAAAUAACAUAUGAUUUAAAAAUUGAGAAUAUAUAUUAUUUAAGUGUAAAAAUAGAAUUUAAAAUUAUCAUUAUAAUAAUAUAAAAUCAGGUAUCUUAAUUUGAUAACAUAAAUAAAAGGAUUAUUUUUUAAAAAUAAUUAAAUUGAUAUAUAAAAUAAAUAUAUAUUUAAAAUUAAACAAAAAAUUAACAAAAAUAAAAAUAUUGAAAAAGAAAUAAAGUUUUAAAAAAUAUUUAUAAAUAAUCACGUAUGUAAAAAUAAAUAAAAAGCAGCACAAAAUUAUAAAAAUAUAAAUUAAAAUUUGUAAAAAUUAUCUUUAAAGUUAGAUUGAUAUUUAUAGCUAAUUAUGAAAAACUUAAUAUAAUAAGAGAUUGACAAGAAAAAAUCUAAUUAUGUUUAUAACCUUUAAUACGAUAUGGACUAUAUGCUUUAAAAAUCUGAAAUAACUGAAAAUACCAUUAAAAAUAUUUAAAGUCAGCAUAUUAAGUUAAUAUUUUUAUAAAUCUUAAAUUUUAUAAAAAAAACGAAACAAACAAAAUGAAAAAAAAAAUGCUUACUUGAUAUAUAUGCUAACUCUUCAUUAAUUAAAGUCAGAAUUAUAAAAUUAUGUCUUAAAGUAUGUCAAAACAUACAAAUAGAUUAUAAAUCAAAAUAAAAUAAAUAAUUAAUAUCAUAAUACUUAAUAUGAUAAAAUUAAUAUAAAGGUAAACUGAGAUUUAGUAUUUGUUUUUUUUUUUCAUUUAUAUUGGUCUCAGCUAUAAAAUAUUAUAAAUUUAUAAUAUGUUAUAUGAGUUUCUUAGAAAAAUAAUGGUUGAUUGUGAUUCUUUUUUUACCGAGCAAAUUUAUUAUUUAAAUAAAUUAGCUGAAAAUUCAAAUAAUAUUUACAAAUAAUAUUGACAUUAGAGUAUAGU